GUUUGGUUCACAUGAAUGGCUUACCUAUUCCUCCCUUAUUCAAACUUUGUCUUCUUACUUUCUCUUUACCCUCACCAUUCUCCCAAUAUACCUAUGUAGAACGUUUGGAGUGAGCAAGAAGAGGGGUUUGAAAGAACAACAGCAGUAACCAUGGCAAAGAAGAUCAACGUAACAAAGAAAGCCUUGAUUCCAGGUUGCUUAAAGGUCGCAGUAUUCCUGGUAAAAUAUUAUUGACCAGAAGGUCAGAUAUACUUGAUGAUUCAGGUUCACAAGAAUGAUCUCCCAGUUAUCAAAGAAGCUUAUCACAGAAUGAUAAUGGUACAAGUGAUGACGUGGACAAAUCUGUGGAGGUGACGUUUAGAGUGACUAUAGUAUCUUUCAUGUAUUCUAUUACAAAAAUACGGAAAAAAUGAUUUAGCCUUGUACUAUGUGACUUUGGACUUCUUUAAAAGUCCAUGAUUUAAGUAACUGAAAAACAUUCCUUUCAUUUAAGGAGAGGUCAGAAAUACAAAUAGUUCUGAUGGUAAUACAACUGUUAAUAAGUUAACAUCUUCAACCUCAAAGAAUGAGGUUUUUUAAUGUAAAGUGAUGAUCUUUUGUUAA